rnacentral:rRNA from 1 species
GAAUAUUGGACAAUGGGCGCAAGCCUGAUCCAGCAAUACCGCGUGUGUGAAGAAGGCCUGAGGGUUGUAAAGCACUUUCAAUUGGGAGGAAAACCUGCCGGUCAAUACCCGGCAGCUUGACAUUACCUUUAGAAGAAGCACCGGCUAACUCCGUGCCAGCAGCCGCGGUAAUACGGAGGGUGCGAGCGUUAAUCGGAAUUACUGGGCGUAAAGCGUGCGUAGGCGGUUAUUUAAGUCAGAUGUGAAAGCCCCGGGCUUAACCUGGGAACUGCAUUUGAUACUGGGUAACUAGAGUUUAGUAGAGGAGAGUGGAAUUUCAGGUGUAGCGGUGAAAUGCGUAGAGAUCUGAAGGAACACCCAGU